UUCACCCUAAGCACACAAAACAAGAGCGUUAAGAUUUGCUGGAGAUGGGACUCAUUUGCAGAAGAAUGUGGCUUUAUUAGAACUUUGGAGACCUUAAUCCAAAGGUUACAAAUUUCUACAAUAAAUGAAGAUAGUCAAGAUUCAGUGUUUUAUAAUCAGUUUCUCAGUGCCAGUGUAAGGCAUGACUUCAAGUGGAGCACAAGUCAACACAUCUGCUUAACUGUUAAGGCAAAACUCUCUCUCUGAAUUACCCAAAAACACACGAGCGCUCGUUUCGUCGCCCGCGUGUUCCAGACCUUCGUCGUUGUUUUUAUGGCCGUGUCGGCGCAGGGGCAGCAGCGGCUCUGGCAGGAGAGCCCCCAAAUGCCCUGGGUCUGGGAACAGACACCGCUCCGCCGUCCCUUGCCGACUCCGAGACCCUCCUCACCCCGCCGCCGGUGGCUGCCCGGCCAGGGCGAGACGGGGGGGGUCCCACGCCGCG